rnacentral:rRNA from 1 species
UACGUAGGGUGCAAGCGUUAAUCGGAAUUACUGGGCGUAAAGCGUGCGCAGGCGGUUUUGUAAGUCUGUCGUGAAAUCCCCGGGCUUAACCUGGGAAUGGCGAUGGAGACUGCAAGGCUAGAGUUUGGCAGAGGGGGGUAGAAUUCCACGUGUAGCAGUGAAAUGCGUAGAGAUGUGGAGGAACACCGAUGGCGAAGGCAGCCCCCUGGGUCAAAACUGACGCUCAUGCACGAAAGCGUGGGGGGCAAACAGG